GGGAGAUUUAAAGGGCUCCCAGGACAGCAUAAUGUUGUUUGACUGAUACAUGAAAUCUCCAUAUGAUUUUGAGGUGGUGAAAGUUCUAUUCCUGAUGGCCCCAAAUUCCUGCCCUAUCACCUGUUCUUCCUCUACGCCACACUUGCGCCUUGGUAACAGAACAUUCAAUGGGACUACAGUGAAAUUUGGGAGUCAUUGACAUAGCCAGCAAUGGAUACAAUGACUGUUGGAACUAUAUACAUCUCCUUACUGUUGGGAAAAGUGAGAAUUCCUCACCAGCAAGAAGGAUAGUUGUAUCUUAUAAGGGUGGAAAUACAGAGUUAUUUACUUGUUGUAUGAAAGUUGAAAUGUGUGUAAAAGGGUGUAUGGAAUCUGAGUUGUCAAAAGAAUAAACAAUGACAUUAAUUUAUUGCUUAUCUCAUAAUCGAUUAUGCAUUAUCUCCUGUGUAAUAAUGGAGCCAGUCCUCCAGAUAUUUCUCCUUCACAGUGAGCAUUAUGAUAUAAGCUUUAUCAGUAGAGGGUGUGGAGGGAUAUUGCUUCUGGGGUGCUGCUGUGUUGUAGUCUU
rnacentral:lncRNA from 10 species